rnacentral:rRNA from 1 species
CCUACGGGUGGCUGCAGUGAGGAAUAUUGGUCAAUGGACGAGAGUCUGAACCAGCCACGUAGCGUGAAGGAUGACUGCCCUAUGGGUUGUAAACUUCUUUUAUAUGGGAAUAAAAUGUUCCACGUGUGGGAUUUUGUAUGUACCAUAUGAAUACGGAUCGGCUAACUCCGUGCCAGCAGCCGCGGUAAUACGGAGGAUCCGAGCGUUAUCCGGAUUUAUUGGGUGUAAAGGGAGCGUAGGUGGAUUGUUAAGUCAGUUGUGAAAGUUUGCGGCUCAACCGUAAAAUUGCAGUUGAAACUGGCAGUCUUGAGUACAGGAGAGGUGGGCGGAAUUCGUGGUGUAGCGGUGAAAUGCUUAGAUAUCACGAAGAACUCCGAUGGCGAAGGCAGUUCACUGGACUGCAACUGACACUGAGGCUCGAAAGUGUGGGUAUCAAACAGGAUUAGAUACCCCAGUAGUC